rnacentral:lncRNA from 1 species
GACACAAUACUUGAAAAUCGACUCGUCAGUAUUAGGUAUCUCCAAGGUUUUUGGUCAGGCAACAAUGCUUCUAUGGGGCGUUAUAUAUAAUCGAUACCUGAAAUCUAUAUCACCUAGGAAACUGAUAUCAGCGAUUCAAGUAACAAUUGCAUUCUUAAUGAUUUCAGAUGUCUUAUUUGUGCGCGGUUUCUAUAGACAAAUGGGCGUGCCGGAUACACUCUAUGUUGUGAUUUUCUCAGGAUUCUUGGAGGUUCUAUUUUUCUUUAAGUUUCUUCCUUUCACUGUGUUAUUAGCACAGCUAUGUCCACAAGGUUGUGAAGGGUCAAUAAUGGCAUUUCUUAUGUCUGCUGUUGCAUUGGCAUUCAUUGUGAGUGGAUACCUUGGUGUUGCACUUGCAUCUUAUAUUAAGAUAACAGGAAGUGAUUUUUCAGGAUUAUCACUUGGACUUGUGAUACAAGCUUCAUGUACUUUGUUGCCAAUAUUUUGGUCAUCAUGCAUACCUGAAUAUGUAAAAACAAAAGACAAGCGUAAAGACUAAUUAAUGUAAUAGCUUUUAGAAAUGUGAUAAACAUAGUGAUUUAAGGUGUUGAGCAAAUUUUGUGUUCCAUUUUUCAGUAGCGUGGUUUAUGUUCGUGCAAGAUUUUAUCCGGUAGGAUUGUAAUUUUCCAAUUUCAUGUUCCGUAAAGGAAAAAAUGUUUAGUGAAUGUUUUACAGAAAAGCAAAGCCAAACAAGUGGUUGGAGAAGGCACACAUACCUUUUUUCCCAGUGGAAUUUCUGAAAUAUGUAAUGCUGCUUCAAGGCAGAAGGUAUGAAAUCAUAUUGAAAAAGUGAACAAUCUCACACAGUUAAAAAAUGAGCCAACUUUUAUAUACUACUAUUCUUUAUGGUCUCUGCCACGUUUUUCCUCAACUUUGUUGCAGUUCAAUUAUGAUAUUUCUAAAUAUCAUUUUAAGAAUGCUUAUGUAACUUAUAAUGUGAGGUUGAUUAUAAAGAUUUUCUACGUUGGAAAAUUGAUCUUAUACAAGUAAUUGUCUGAAAAUAAUAUCAAUUAUUGGAUCAUAAGAUGGUGGACAUAUAUCAAUUCUUUGAAAUACUAGAGACCACAAUACAAUUCGAUCAAUGAACAUUGCAAUUUGGAAGUAAAUAGUACUGAUAUGUUACUACAUGUGCAAAUGAGGUGUGAAAGUUGAGAGCUCUUAGUCCCACAUUGCUUGCAAAGAAACAAAACACAUGUGAAGUUGUUAUAUAUAAGAUGGCAAGUGUAUUACAAACAAUUGCAGUUUCAUAGAGGUGCCUAUUGGCUAUUGUGGUAACAUUGGCACGGAUCAGUGGUGUUGGUUUAAAAAGUAAAAAAUUUCUUUAAACCUUGAUCAUUUUCUUUUUGUUUUCAAAUUAGCUUGUUAGCACUCUCUCUCAAUAUAAUUAUUAUGUAAUAGAUUAUGUAUAAUAAUGUAAUAUAACUUGCCAAAAAAUCAAUUAUUCGUGUAGUCCAUCAUUACUACUUAUGUCUUCAUCUUGUUCUUGGUUGGUUAUUCUGGAUUCACCAGCUUCAUUAGAUUUUCUUCUUAGAGACGGAAUCUAUGAUCAAGACAUGGUUGGUGAUGCUUAUUCUUUUCAUGUCCGCAAACUAUUUACAACACAGUGUCUAUGAGAAAUAUCAAGUACCUAGUCUGUUUAUCUUUGGGGACUCUUUAUAUGAUAGUGAAAACAACAAUAACCUUCCUACCUUUGCUUAAUUUGAUUACAAACCUUAUGGAAUCGAUUCCUUCCUCGCUCGGCGCAACCAGAAGAUUUACCAACGGUCGAACUGCAAUUAACAUAAUAAGUAACGUUCUUUCGGUUUAUCUAUAUUAUUGUGAACUAUUGUUGUUAUCUCUUUGUGUUUCAACUCAAACUAAAGUCAUUUCUUUGACUAUAGCUUGCCUUCUUGGAUUUUAGAUAUUCAUUCCAUCAUUUGCAAACACUAAUGGUUUAGAUAUUCUCAAAGGUGUGAAUUAUGCAUAUGAGGGAGCAGGAAUUCGUAUCGAGACAAGCAUGACUAAAGUUUAAAUAAAUUGUAGUUUUUUAUGGUUGGUACUUAUCUUCAAUGGGUUUGUCAUAGUCACCAAACAUUAGUACACUAUCACAUCGACACUGAUAAUAAUUUGAAAAUUGACAUAAUUAAACCAAUGUAACCACACAAUUCUUAAAAUAAAAAAUGUAACCAUAGUGCCACACAAGUCACGGUCAUGUCUGUAUCAAAUACUAACACGUGUCGAAUACCAUACACAUGGAUCAUAAAUACCGGUGCUACAAAAUGUAUGUUACAUUGCUCAUACAUGUCACCAAAUUAGCAUAUGUCCAUACAAACUUGGUAUUACAGUUGACAAAUCACCGACUUAUAGUUUCUGAAAUUGCUACUAGACUUGGAAGUCUUGAAAAAACUCAGCAAUACCUUAACAAAUGUUUGUGUUAUGUAAUAGGAUGUAAUGUUACAUAAACAAUUAAUGAAAUAUUAUUCUGUUGGGAAUAUAUAUCCUCUAAUGUUAAAAACAGAAAUGUAUUCGUUAAAUGUGGAUAACUUUAUCUUUUUCUUUAUAUUAUAUUAUCAUUUAAUUUUACAAGGGCAUCCAUAAUGGUAACUGUUUCAUCUGAGUGCUGCUAUAUUGCAUGAGGGCCACAACAAAUCAAAUCGUACGACUUGUUAAACUAUGGGAAAAGAAACAACUUUCAGAACUAUUGGUCGCACUAAGAAAACAUAAAUUCGCUGGUCAAUCUCAUGGUUUGCAUUAUCUUAUGCUGUUAUUCCCUUACUUAACAGAACCAUGUUCUUUUACCAGACAUAAUACUUGAAAAUUGACUCCUCGGGUAUUAGGCAUCUCCAAGGUUUUUUGUCGGGCAACAAUGCUUCUAUGGGGUGUUAUAUUUAACUGAUGCUGAAAAUUUGUCUCACUGAGCAAACUGAUAUCAGCUACUCAAGCGUAAAGACUAAUCAAUGCCAAUAUUUUGGUCAUCAUGCAUACCUGAAUUUGUAAAAACAAAAGACAAGUGUAAAGACAAAUUAUUAAUGUAAUAGCUUUUAGAAAUGUGAUGGUGGUUUAAGGGGUUGAACAAAUUUUGUGUUCCAUACUUCCAUUUUUCAGUGGCAUGGUUUAUGUUGGUGCGAGAUUUUUCAUAUAUAGGAUUGUAAUUUUCUAAUGUCAUGUUUAGCCAAUGUUUUUGUGAAAAAAAGAUGUUUAGUGAAUGUUUUACAGAAAAUCAAAACUGCUUUUAUGAUCAAGUGGUUAGAGAAGGCACACAUACCUUAUUUUUCAGUAGAAUCUCUGAAAUAUGUAAUGCUGCUUGAAGGCAGAAGGUAUGAAAUCAUAUUGAAAAAGUAAACAAUCUCACACAGUUAAAAAUUGAGUCAACUUUUAUAUGGUACUAUUCUUUAUAUCUCCGCCACUUUUUUCCUCAACCUUGUUUCAGUUUAAUUAUGAGAUUUCUAAAUAUCAAUUUAAGAAUGCUUAUGUAACAUAUAAUGUGAGGUUGAUUAUAAAGAAUUUGCUAAGUUGAAAAAGUGAUCUUAUGCAAGUAGUUGUCUGAAAAUAAUCUCAAUUAUACGUCAAUUCUUUGAAAUACCAGAGGCUUAAGAACAUUGCAAUUUGGAAGUAAGUAGGACUGAUAUCUUACUAGAAGUGCCAAGUGAGGUGUGAAAGUAGAGAGUAUAAAUAUGGCUUUUAGUCCCAUAUUGCUUGCAAAGAAACAUAAUACGUGAAGUUUUUCUAUAUAAAGAUGACAAGUGAAUGACUAACAAAUGCAAUUUGGCUGAGAUGUCUAUUGGUUAUUCCUGUCCCAAUGACACUGUUCUAGUGCCACACCCCCGAAACUGCCAACUUUUCCAACUUGUCGUUUGAUCGGUAGUGUAGUUCUGGGGGUGCUAUCUGGAAUAGUAGCAUUGACAGGUUAAAAAGUUCAAUUUUUUUUUUAGAAAUCACAACUUUGAUCCCUUUUUUUCUCUUCAUUUUCUUCGUUGAUUCAGCUCAAACUAAUGUCGUUUCAUUGAGCUGCUACUCUACUUCUUGGAUUUGAGAAUUUAAUUUCAUCAUUUGCAAACCCUAAUGGUUUAGACAUACUUAAAGGUCCGAACUAUGCCAACUAUAAUCGUAGUUUUUGAUUGUUCAUCUUUAACUUCAAUUGGUUUUUGAUAGGUGUCUAGAGGAUUAUGUAGUACUCACGCAAUUAUCAAACACGACACUGACACGUCAACAGCAGUAAUAAUUUGAAGAAAAAAAAAACUUACAUUUAAAUGUAAUCACACGACUCUAUAUUGUGUCGGCAUCAAUAUUGACAUGUGUCAGAUACCUGAGACAUAGAUCUAAAGUGUCGAUGCUACAAAAUGUAUGCUACAUUGCUCAUACAUGUCACCAAAUUAACAUUAUUUAUGUCCAUACAUGAUUUUGUAUAGAAAGUUGAAUCGAAAGUUUUCGAUAAGUAAUCAGCUUCUUCGUGUGGUCACAAAUCAAGCUAAGUUCACCGUUUUUCUUCCAAAACUACUCACAGUUUCACCCUAUGUGACACAUCAUUGAGGUUUCUUGGAAACCUCCACCAUUCAACUACUAUAAAUGUUGAUGGUCUCAUGAAAGACACCAGAGAUUCUAUUUGUGGAUGAAUAACUAGAGAUCCUCGUGGUAGAUUCAUUCACGAUUUCUAAAAUAGACUCAAAACUUGAUCUGCUGUGUCGGCAGAACUCUGUGCUCUUCGCAUUGGAGUUGAUGAUAUAGCAAACCAGUUAAUUAUAUCAAUAAUGUCACAAUUGCAGCCACUAAAAGCAUGCAUGAAAUCAUAGACUAAUACAGUUAAUUGACAGCGGAAUCCACGGUGGUGGAAGUAGAAAAAAUAUCUCGGGUGGGCCAGCAAAAUAUACUCGGAUAUAUAAACAUAAAUUUGUCUGUUGUAAUAAACGCCAAACACAAAGUUUCAUCAAAAUAGUAAACUACAUACCUUAGAAAAUUAAAAUAAUUCGUUAUGCGAUCCAACUAACUUGAAAUCAUCAAUGACCAACUCAUAACUAAUACUUGCACUAAUUUCCCUUUCAAUAUAAACCGUCAUGCUAUCAUUUAGAAACCCACUUCCCAUUUUGUUUCUCAACCUAGUCUUGAUAAUCUUCAUUGCUGAAAAAGAUCUCUCAGUUGUGGCCGUAGAAGCUGGAAGAGUCAUGAUAAGGCGGAGUAUAAAUUAAAUAUGUGAUAUCUUACGAUUCAUUAUAAGAUUCGAUCCAUGAUUUGGAAAAUAGUUCUUCCGGUUCACGUUAUGAAUCUCGAAUCGAUAAGGAUGUUUAUUUCCCUUGUAGUGUAAUGCAAUAUGUCCUGAUACCAGGUUUCUGUGGGUGAGUAGUAGUAACACAUUACCCCUUUUUCCCUGCAUCAGUCCAAAGGCAGAACAGAAAAAAUGGGAUCUUAUGGAUUCUGGCCAGUAAUGUGAUCAAUCCAAAAGAAAGAAUAAACAAAAGAAAGAAAAACCGAAACCCUGAUUCAAAAGGAAACUUAGAUACUUGAAUAUGAAUAUAGUUAGGAACUAUUUAAAUGAAUGAAUGUCGUUGUUGCUUGAAUCUAAAAACAGAAUAAGUAUAUACUCGUUAGCUUCCUUAUGAAGGAAGUGUAAUAAAUCACAAUUAUUUCUAGGAACUGGAAAAUAGGUCAAUGGUUAUUGAAUUGGUUUCUUUUAUAUAUAAUAGAAGAAGGGAUAGAAAGAAUCAUCCUGAGGCAAACUGGUCAAUAAUGAAUACAAGAGACUAUUUAUACAUACAAGUUCAUAUGAAAACGAAGAAGAUAACAACGAUAACUAGCCUAAGUACAUUUCUCUAAUAAGAACAUUUUGAAUCAGCCAUUUCCCUCAAAGCAGUAGUUCUACUCAUGAAAAUGCAAAACUGAUUGCAACUUUUACUUGAGGCAAUGAUCAGAACCGUUUCUAAGAACACAAGCAAAUGCUACUUGAAAUUGAGAAAGUGCUGCAUUUUUUAGUUAUCUUCAUUUUGAAUUUUAUUUUCAGCAAUUGCUUAUCAGAUCAUCCCUGUCAGUUCGAUUCUGAUCCACCUUUAAUUUUCUGACAUACAAUGGUUAUUAAAACUGGAGACUUGGUUUUUACUUCAUUCAAUGCUAGACUAAAUCUGGAUAUGUUGUUGUGACUAUAUAACCUUAUGCCGCACUGCAAUCUUUACCCCUGCAUUGUUCAUUCCAUUUGGUAUAAAAGGUUGAUAUAAUUAAACCUUGUCAUGUAUUUAUUGGUCUAUGGGGUCAUAUUUUUCUUAGGUGUGAGUGUGACAUGGUGGAACUUCAUGUAAACUGUUUCUUCUGUUCUGUCCCCUUUGGGCUAUGAAUCCCAGUUUUCACUUAUUAGCAAGAAUACCUUAAAAAUUUAUCCUCAUCAAAAUGUUAGCUCGGAGGGAACUGGUUUGGUGACUGGUAAGGAUCGGUUACGUCUAGUAUAUGCAAAUUAUUAACCAGUUGCACGAUGCGUCAAAACAUGGCAUGAAUAAGUUCUCUCAGGCUGCAACUUUUCGUUUGACCUGAUUUUCUGGAGCCUCCCCCUCCUUUUUUUGGUAGAAAUAUUGUCCCUAGUUUCUUGGUUGCUAAAGUUGGAGUUGAUACUGAUGCCUUUUCAGUUAUGUUCUCGUCCAUAAGAGCAGCUUUGUUGGCAUUUUUCCAAUUUCAUGCAAGCUGCCUUAUUAAGGGAAAGUUAUCAAAUUUCGCCAAUGCUUUAAGGAUAAUCAUAUCUAUCAUGAACUUUAAAACUGUUCUAUUGUUUAUCAUUUUAUUGCAUGUCUAAUUUGUACUUCUAUUGUUUAUAACUAUAUUGCUAAAUAUUUCCUUAAAUUUGUUUAUGCAGCUUUCUUGCAGGCACUGUCAUGGCUAGCAAUAGCAAUCUCUCCGUCAAGCAUAUCUGUUUUCACUAUCUCUAUAUAUCUUCUUCUUAGUAUUCUAGGAGCUUCAAUAACUGAGGUAAAAAAUGAUGCCAUCGUUGCCGAGUUGGGUAAACAGCCUCCGUCUUCAACCAAGCACUCUCAACAACCAUCUUCCUCAGGCAAUCUUCAAUCCUUUGUUUGGAUAGCUUCCUCUGUAGGAGGAGUCGCCGGCAACCUUCUUGGUGGCAUUUUCAUCAGCCGCUUCUCUCCACAAUCCAUGUUUAUGUUUUUUGGCCUUCUUGUUGCUCUCCAAUUCUUCAUAACCGUUUCGGUUCACGAAAGCUCUCUCGGACUUUCAAAGAAUCCAUCAAUUGGGAUAAAGAAACAGCUUUCAGAACUAUCUGCCGCACUAAGAAAACCUGAAAUCACGUAUUCAAUCUCAUGGUUUGCAUUAUCUUAUGCAGUUGUUCCCUUACUUAACGGAACCAUGUUCAUUUACCAGACACAAUACUUGAAAAUCGACUCGUCAGUGUUAGGUAUCUCCAAGGUUUUUGGUCAGGAAACAAUGCUUCUAUGGGGUAUUAUAUAUAAUCGAUACCUGAAAUCUAUAUCACCUAGGAAACUGAUAUCAGCGAUUCAAGCAACAAUUGCAUUCUUAAUGAUUUCAGAUGUCUUAUUUGUGCGCGGUUUCUAUAGACAAAUGGGCGUGCUGGACACACUCUAUGUUGUGAUUUUCUCAGGAUUCUUGGAGGUUCUAUUUUUCUUUAAGUUUCUGCCAUUCACUGUGUUAUUAGCACAGCUAUGUCCACAAGGUUGCGAAGGGUCAAUAAUGGCAUUUCUUAUGUCUGCUGUUGCAUUGGCAUUCAUUGUGAGUGGAUACCUUGGUGUUGCACUUGCAUCUUAUAUUAAGAUAACAGGAAGUGAUUUUUCAGGAUUGUCACUUGGACUUGUGAUACAAGCUUCAUGUACUUUGUUGCCAAUAUUUUGGUCAUCAUGCAUAC